AUUGAACGCUGGCGGCAGGCCUAACACAUGCAAGUCGAGUGGAUGAAGGGAGCUUGCUCCUGGAUUCAGCGGCGGACGGGUGAGUAAUGCCUAGGAAUCUGCCUGGUAGUGGGGGAUAACGUCCGGAAACGGGCGCUAAUACCGCAUACGUCCUGAGGGAGAAAGUGGGGGAUCUUCGGACCUCACGCUAUCAGAUGAGUCUAGGUCGGAUUAGCUAGUUGGUGGGGUAAAGGCCUACCAAGGCGACGAUCCGUAACUGGUCUGAGAGGAUGAUCAGUCACACUGGAACUGAGACACGGUCCAGACUCCUACGGGAGGCAGCAGUGGGGAAUAUUGGACAAAGGGCGAAAGCCUGAUCCAGCCAUGCCGCGUGUGUGAAGAAGGUCUUCGGAUUGUAAAGCACUUUAAGUUGGGAGGAAGGGCAGUAAGUUAAUACCUUGCUGUUUUGACGUUACCAACAGAAUAAGCACCGGCUAACUUCGUG
rnacentral:rRNA from 1 species